rnacentral:rRNA from 1 species
AACUACGCUGGCGGCGUGCCUAACACAUGCAAGUCGUACGAGAAAGUUGGCUUCGGCCGAUGAGUAAAGUGGCGCACGGGUGAGUAAUGCGUGGAUAAUCUGCCUUUUAGCUUGGGAUACCCGAAGGAAACUUUGGCUAAUACCGGAUAAUAACAACCGAGGCAUCUCGGAUGUUUGAAAGGAGCUCUAAAGCUUCACUAAAAGAUGGACCUGCGGCGCAUUAGCUAGUUGGUGAGAUAACAGCCCACCAAGGCGAGGAUGCGUAGCCGAACUGAGAGAUUGAACGGCCACAUUGGAACUGAAACACGGUCCAGACUCCUACGGGAGGCAGCAGUGAGGAAUAUUGGACAAUGGUCGGAAGACUGAUCCAGCCAUGCCGCGUGAAGGUUACGGUCCUAUGGAUUUUAAACUUCUUUUGUAUGGAAGCAAUAAGGUGCACGCGUGCAUCGAUGAGGGUACCAUACGAAUAAGCAUCGGCUAACUCCGUG